ensembl:lncRNA
AAGGGACAGUAAAUGAACAAAUAAUGGAGAAAUGUUAGAUCUUGGACCCUGAACCUCAGCUUUUACGACCAGGCUCACCCCUUCUCGACACCCCAAAUGCUCCUGGGAACACAGGGACUAGGAGCCUUUUGAGGUCUACUGAACCCGCCUUUUGUCUUGGACCAUGAACUAUACUAGGAGAAUGCAUCAGCAACACUCCACCACCUGUGUGUACACAUGUGAGGUAGACCUGGUCUCCUGAGAGGGGUGGAAAUGCGUAAAUGUGGCUAACCUAGAGUAAAAGGAAAGUGACAUCACUAGCGACAUGAUUUCCCACCCCCGUACUAGUCCCUCUGGCUUUGUAGGCGCUUAACCAGAGAAACCACCACCGCCCAAGCAGGAUAUGACAUCACAAAACCUCGGAGAGGGACUUCCCGUAAUCUGAGAAGACUCUUUGCAGGUGCCAUCUACUGCGUAUAGGCCCCUCCAGCUGGGUAACACAACAAGAUCCAGGCCAAAAUAAGACGUGCCCAGAGUUUGUUCAUAGCGCUAGUGUGGCGUGAGUGGGUGUCUAAGCAGCUGUUGGUGUUGCCUUAAGGCGUCCGCAUGCUUCCCAGCAGAAACCGUUCAGAAGAGUUUGUGGAUAUAUUAUGCUUACACUUUGGACUUCGGUAAGGUUUUUUCGGCUGUUUGGGCACAUUACAUUUUUUCUCGAAGGAAACCGACAGUAGCUGAAGUCUAUGCCCCUUCUUCGGUGAUUGGUCAACAGUAGGGAUUCUUCAAUAAAGUCUUAGUUGUCAUUCAAGGAGAGACGACUCAUUUUCAUGCACAUUUUUUUGUUUAGAAAUACUGCACCCACUUAGUUAGGUUUAAAAUUGCGCGACUAAGAUCUCUGCAAAAACUUCAAUUAAUUACAUAUUUCUUGAGUUAUUCUGACUAUUUUGAGGAAGUGUAUACUGGCUACGGCAUCUCAAAAUGGACAAACCGUACUAUUGAUGCUUUUCCCCCAUUUUUUUCAAGCGAAUGUCUUUAAGGGAGUUUUGCGAACACAGUCAUUCGGUUUGGGACCAGUCAAACAGAAGCAUGCUGAUGCCUUUAGCCACCCAGCUAGUCUUUUGUCCCGCCUUGCAUUGUAACUGACAGCUGCCUUAAUUGUUGCUUAGAAAGAAAAAUUAAAUCACCAUUUUUUUUCCUACUAUGUUGAUACUUUUCCCUCAAUAUCAUCAUUGCUGUUUAUUUUUCAAAAUAUAAUAUUACUGUCAUUAUUAUUAUUAUUAUUAUUAUUAUUAUUAACAUGAUUUACUAUUUGAUUAUUUUGUACUCUGGGCCUACCUCUUUUCCAUGGCUAUUUGAAUCUCUCAUGAGUUUAGUGUUUUAUUUUUCAGUACGUAUUUUCCAGACAAUGACAACUCCUCCAUCUUACACUUAUAACUACUAUUUUAGUUCAGAUAACUUCAACUAAGCUGUUUGUAUUUGUAAUUGUUGACACAUGGAAAAGAGGGGCUCACAUAAUCCUAUCACAUUACCUUCGUUUUGAAAUAUCUUUUUUGGUCUUGUGUAUAUAUAUUAUUUUUCACUUUUGGGAGGACUCUGUGAGGAAAAAGAUAUUGUAUUAUUUGAAAGGUGACCAUCUCUCUCUCUCUCUCUUCUUUCACUCUUCUCAGCGGUUAUUUAACACUCAAACUGAGAGAUGAGACUCCAUGCCUUUCUGUUUCUCUUGUAUUUUUCACCCCUUAUUUGUAAUUAAAUUGUAAUCAGGGUUCAUUAAAACAGGUAAAAAUUGACAA